rnacentral:snRNA from 1 species
AUUUUGUUCUAAAAUGUUCUAAAAUUGAUCUAACAUUGGGCACGAAGAUCAGAAUGAUUCGAGCGCAAGGAUGACACGCAAAUUCGUGAAGCGUUCCAAAUUUUU